rnacentral:rRNA from 1 species
UACGUAGGGUGCGAGCGUUGUCCGGAAUUACUGGGCGUAAAGGGUGCGUAGGCGGUUGUUUAAGUCUGUCGUGAAAUCCCCGGGCUCAACCUGGGAAUGGCGAUGGAUACUGGGCAGCUAGAGUGUGUCAGAGGAUGGUGGAAUUCCCGGUGUAGCGGUGAAAUGCGUAGAGAUCGGGAGGAACAUCAGUGGCGAAGGCGGCCAUCUGGGACAACACUGACGCUGAAGCACGAAAGCGUGGGGAGCAAACAGG